GACAGAGGGUGCGAACGUUGUUCGGAAUUACUGGGCGUAAAGCGCAUGUAGGCGGCAACGCAAGUCGGGCGUGAAAUCCCUCGGCUCAACCGGGGAACUGCGUCCGAUACUGGUGGGCUCGAAUCCGGGAGAGGGAUGCAGAAUUCCAGGUGUAGCGGUGAAAUGCGUAGAUAUCUGGAGGAAUACCGGUGGCGAAGGCGGCAUCCUGGACCGGCAUUGACGCUGAGGAGCGAAAGCUAGGGGAGCAAACGGG
rnacentral:rRNA from 1 species